rnacentral:rRNA from 1 species
AACGAACGCUGGCGGCAGGCCUAACACAUGCAAGUCGAGCGAGGACUUCGGUCCUAGCGGCGGACGGGUGAGUAACGCGUGGGAACGUGCCCUUUGCUACGGAAUAGCCCCGGGAAACUGGGAGUAAUACCGUAUGUGCCCUUCGGGGGAAAGAUUUAUCGGCAAAGGAUCGGCCCGCGUUGGAUUAGGUAGUUGGUGGGGUAAUGGCCCACCAAGCCGACGAUCCAUAGCUGGUUUGAGAGGAUGAUCAGCCACACUGGGACUGAGACACGGCCCAGACUCCUACGGGAGGCAGCAGUGGGGAAUCUUAGACAAUGGGGGAAACCCUGAUCUAGCCAUGCCGCGUGAGCGAUGAAGGCCUUAGGGUUGUAAAGCUCUUUCAGUGGGGAAGAUAAUGACGGUACCCACAGAAGAAGCCCCGGCUAACUCCGUGCCAGCCGCCGCGGUAAAAC